rnacentral:rRNA from 1 species
UACGUAGGGUGCAAGCGUUGUCCGGAAUUAUUGGGCGUAAAGAGCUCGUAGGCGGUCUGUCGCGUCUGCUGUGAAAACUCAGGGCUUAACCCUGAGCUUGCAGUGGGUACGGGCAGACUAGAGUGCGGUAGGGGAGACUGGAAUUCCUGGUGUAGCGGUGAAAUGCGCAGAUAUCAGGAGGAACACCGGUGGCGAAGGCGGGUCUCUGGGCCGU